AUUGAACGCUGGCGGCAGGCCUAACACAUGCAAGUCGAGCGAGCGGCGGACGGGUGAGGAAUGUAUGGGGACUGCCCGAUAGAGGGGGAUAAAUACAGGAAACGGUAGCUAAUACCGCAUACUAUCGGAUAACCCAUAUGGGAUUUGCUAGUAGGUGAGGUAAUGGCUCACCUAGGCGACGAUCCCUAGCUGGUCUGUGAGGAUGAUCAGCCACACUGCGACUGCGACACGGCCCAGACUCCUACGGAGGCAGCAGGGGUGAAUAUUACACAAUGGGCGCAAGUCUGAUGCAGCCAUGCCGCGGAUAUGAAGAAGGCCCUAGGGUUGUAAAGUACUUUCAGUCGGGAGGCGUUACCGACAGAAGAAGCACCGGCUAACUCCGUGCCAGCAGCCGCGGUAAUUC
rnacentral:rRNA from 1 species